rnacentral:rRNA from 1 species
AUUGAACGCUGGCGGCAUGCCUUACACAUGCAAGUCGAACGGAUCAGAAGGGCUUGCUCUUCUGGUUAGUGGCGAACGGGUGAGUAAUGCAUCGGAACGUACCCAGUCGUGGGGGAUAACGUAGCGAAAGUUACGCUAAUACCGCAUACGAUCUGAGGAUGAAAGCGGGGGACCUUCGGGCCUCGCGCGAUUGGAGCGGCCGAUGUCGGAUUAGCUAGUUGGUGAGGUAAAGGCUCACCAAGGCGACGAUCCGUAGCUGGUCUGAGAGGACGACCAGCCACACUGGGACUGAGACACGGCCCAGACUCCUACGGGAGGCAGCAGUGGGGAAUUUUGGACAAUGGGCGAAAGCCUGAUCCAGCCAUGCCGCGUGAGUGAAGAAGGCCUUCGGGUUGUAAAGCUCUUUCAGACGGAAAGAAAUCUUCUGGGUGAAUAUCCCGGGAGGAUGACGGUACCGUAAGAAGAAGCACCGGCUAACUACGUGCCAGCCGCCGCAGUAAUAC